UUGUGGAUUCCAGCAUUUUUCUAGUUUUUUAUAGAUUUAGGUACUUAUAACUUAAUACAUCGACCGUUUUACCCUUUAAUUUAAUGGAUUAUUGACUUUACUCGUUAUGUUUUUUUUUUCCUUCUCGUUUCGUUUAUCACCGAACGAUUGCGGAGAUGUCGUCAAAGUCAAUCGCUCUCCCAUAAAAUUCGAUUAUUUCGCUGGCUCUUCAAUGACAUGAAACCUACUGCUGAACUCACCAUUGAUGCUCAAUUGCUUCUCCAUCUCCUCAACCAAAAUUUUGAUUCAGAUCCAGCGUCGUUGAUCUUCUUCUUUGACGAAGCAUGCGAUUAUCAUCCAUACCUUUUCUGAAUUUUAAUUUCUCGAUGUAAAUCAGAAUUCUAUCAUCUCUCGUUUUAUUUUUAAAGAGAAAGAAGGAAAAUCAUUAAAAUCUUAAUAGAUUUGAUUAUUUUAAAAGCGUUUAUGUAUCCAUUUAGGGUGUAGCUUUCUUCCAUUAAAAACAGUUAUUUGAUUCUAUUGGGUUGAUUAGAACAAGGUUGUUGGUGUAGAGAUGUUUGUGAGGUCAUUGAAG